rnacentral:lncRNA from 1 species
AUGUUGGCUCCCGGGGUCUCCGGCUGGUGCACGAACCUUGUGAUUUCCACACCCAUGUCUCUUCCUCCAAGAGUUUCGGGAGUCCAGUCCAAAUAUUCCACCAGCAGUGUGUUGGCACCAGCACUGUCCACUCAGAAAGGCCUUGGACUUUCACCAGCUGUUUCUGCUGCCGUGGUGUGUUUCAGGAUGGGAAAUGAUGGAUAUAGAAGCCAGUGAGAGCUCAGAAUGCAAAUGCAGUAA